rnacentral:rRNA from 1 species
UACGUAGGGCGCAAGCGUUGUUCGGAAUUAUUGGGCGUAAAGAGCUCGUAGGCGGUGUGUCGCGUCGGCCGUGAAAACCUGCAGCUUAACUGUGGGCUUGCGGUCGAUACGGGCAUCACUGGAGUUCGGCAGGGGAGACUGGAAUUCCUGGUGUAGCGGUGAAAUGCGCAGAUAUCAGGAGGAACACCGGUGGCGAAGGCGGGUCUCUGGGCCGAUACUGACGCUGAGGAGCGAAAGCGUGGGGAGCGAACAGG